CCUACGGGGUGCUGCAGUGGGGAAUAUUGGACAAUGGGCGCAAGCCUGAUCCAGCAAUGCCGCGUGUGUGAAGAAGGCCUUAGGGUUGUAAAGCACUUUCAGCAAUGAAGAAGUUGUAUUGGCUAAUAUCCAAUAUAAUUGACGUUAGUUGCAGAAGAAGUACUGGCUAACUCUGUGCCAGCAGCCGCGGUAAUACAGAGAGUGCAAGCGUUAAUCGGAAUUAUUGGACGUUAUGAAUGUAGAUAUUGUUGAAAUCCCUGGGCUUAACCUAGGAAUUGCAUUUAAUACUUUGUAUCUAGAGUAUUGUAGGGGGAAGUGGAAUUUCCGGUGUAGCGGUGAAAUGCGUAGAUAUCGGAAGGAACACCAGUGGCGAAGGCGACUUCCUGGACAAAUACUGACACUGAGACACGAAAGCGUGGGGAGCAAACAGGAUUAGAUACCCCUGUAGUC
rnacentral:rRNA from 1 species